UCAACUCAUGGCCAUGUCUAUGGCUUUAGUCCCCUAGAGGAUCUCACUGGAAUUAUUGGGCAAGCAUCAUCCUCUUCCAUCUCUACAAGUCAAGCUCCAGAGCUGUACACGCGUGAAGACCUUCUACGUAUUCUUGAGCAGGAAAAGAAAAAAUGGCAAGAGGAGGUUCUUCAAAAGAUGAGAGAAGAGAUUGGCUUUGGACCAAGGCAUGUAGAUCACGGGAGUAAUGGUGAUUCUGGUUCUGCUGAUCAUGCUUCAUUAUGAUUGCUUUUGCCUUAGAUGAUAGGUCUUUGCAUUCCUAGGAGGAAUGAAAUCUCUGUUGAUCUCUAUGACAUAUUUUUAGACUUUGAUUUUGAUGGAUUUAGGACAUGUUGAUGCCUAUUUUGAAUGAUAUUUUAAAUGACUUUUGCGUAAUGUUGAAUGACUUUGCUGUUAAUGAUAUUAUUAUUAUUAUUAUGAGCCAAUCAAUGUACCAAAUAUACCAGGUUAUUAGAUUGUGAUCAGUGACCAAAUUUUGGUUACUAACUUGUUUACCAAGUAUUGUGACGAGCAGUCAUAAACUUAGUGACAGGAUUUUGGUUAAUAAAAAUUGAUUUUGCUCAGAGCGUUUGUAACAAAUUAGUGACGGUAACCUUGUCUUGAGGGUCAGUGACGGGAUUAAUGACAAAUGUAGUGACAAAAUGUGUGACCAUGUUUGUGACGACUAAAUCUGUCACUGAAGGUUGUGACAGAUCAGUGACCAAACUUGUGACCGUAU